ensembl:lncRNA
AUGACAUCAUCACCUCUUAUUAGAUCAACAGCAGCUCCUGAAACUACUGUCCCUGUGACGACCACCGCCACUGUUUCUGUGACAACCACACUCAUUAGUGAUCUCACAACUGCUGUGAACACCCAGGCAAAAGCUGUAACGGUAACCACACACACCAUCGCUCCCAUGGUGAAGGUGACAAUUUCACUGCCAACGACAAGCAUCCAGCAGCUCACUAAAGUGUCUCAUUCAGAAAAACCAGGAUGUCCAUGGGGACUAGAGCUAUUUCAUCAAGGAGGUGAGAAAGAGGACCUGAAAGAGACUCUUGAAGAGGAGCUGAUCUGGGGCAGGGUGACCAUUAGCUCAGUGAAGCUGCAGCCAUGUGUGUUUGAGCUGUGCAAGUUUUACUCUCAGUGUGUGUGCAGAGGAUUCAGUCACAGAGCAGCAGCUUUACAGGGAUACUGUGUGGACAGCCAUCGCUGGUAUGACAGACACACAGCAGAGGUCUGCAGUCGUAUGAGGAGAGUCACUUUUUCCAAAAAUCUGAAGCAGAAAUGUCUGGCAAGAAUGUGUGUGAAGAUGCAAGACGAAAGCUGAGCUUCAUUUGCAGGUGACAGACAUCUGAACCAUCUGAACUGAAGAAUUUGUUUAUGUAUGUGUGAGAGAAACUGGGUUCUGUUAAACACUGAACAGCAUUGUCAUCAUCUGUAAAUCAAAAAUCUGUAUAGUCUGUGCAUCUAGUGCCCAAAUUGCACUUUGUCUCUCCUGAAUAUUAAUAAAACCGAAUAUAUAUUUACCCA